rnacentral:rRNA from 1 species
UACAGAGGUGGCAAGCGUUGUUCGGAAUUACUGGGCGUAAAGGGCGCGUAGGCGGCCUUCUAAGUCAGACGUGAAAUCCCCCCGGCUUAACCUGGGAACUGCGUCUGAUACUGGGAGGCUUGAGUAUGGGAGAGGGAUGUAGAAUUCCAGGUGUAGCGGUGAAAUGCGUAGAUAUCUGGAGGAAUACCGGUGGCGAAGGCGGCUCUCUGGGACGGUACUGACGCUGAGACGCGAAAGCGUGGGGAGCGAACAGG